UACGUAGGUGGCGAGCGUUGUCCGGAUUUACUGGGCGUAAAGGGAGCGUAGGCGGACUUUUAAGUGAGAUGUGAAAUACCCGGGCUCAACUUGGGUGCUGCAUUUCAAACUGGAAGUCUAGAGUGCAGGAGAGGAGAAUGGAAUUCCUAGUGUAGCGGUGAAAUGCGUAGAGAUUAGGAAGAACACCAGUAGCGAAGGCGAUUCUCUGGACUGUAACUGACGCUGAGGCUCGAAAGCGUGGGGAGCAAACAGGAUUAGAUACCCU
rnacentral:rRNA from 1 species